AUUCUGCCCAUGCGGGGAAGGAUGAGAAGCUUCGACUAAGGUUCGGCUCGAGCGUCAGCGAGAGAGCGUUGCCGCAGGCAACGACCCGAAGGGCGAAGCGCGCAGCGCUGAGUAAUCCUUCCCCCACCACCA
rfam:Escherichia coli str. K-12 substr. MG1655, complete genome.